AAUGGACGCAAGUCUGAACCAGCCAUGCCGCGUGCAGGAUGAAUGCCCUAUGGGUUGUAAACUGCUUUUAUAUAGGAAUAAACCCCCUCUCGUGAGAGGGGCUGAAGGUACUAUAAGAAUAAGGACCGGCUAACUCCGUGCCAGCAGCCGCGGUAAUACGGAGGGUCCAAGCGUUAUCCGGAUUUAUUGGGUUUAAAGGGUCCGCAGGCGGGAAAAUAAGUCAGUGGUGAAAUCCUAUCGCUUAACGAUAGAACUGCCAUUGAUACUGUUUUUCUUGAGUAUAAUUGAAGUGGGCGGAAUGUGUCAUGUAGCGGUGAAAUGCAUAGAUAUGACACAGAACACCGAUUGCGAAGGCAGCUCACUAAAUUAUUACUGACGCUCAGGGACGAAAGCGUGGGGAGCAAA
rnacentral:rRNA from 1 species